CGGAACGGGUGAGUAACAUAUCGGAACGUACCGAGUAUGGGGGAGUAACUGGUCGAAAGAUCAGCUAAUACCGCAUACGUCUUGAGAGGGAAAGCAGGGGACCUUCGGGCCUUGCGCUAUUCGAGCAGCCGAUAUCUGAUUAGCUAGUUGGUGGGGUAAAGGCCUACCAAGGCGACGAUCAGUAGCGGGUCUGAGAGGAUGAUCCGCCACACUGGGACUGAGACACGGCCCAG
rnacentral:rRNA from 1 species